rnacentral:rRNA from 1 species
AACGAACGCUGGCGGCAUGCCUAACACAUGCAAGUCGAACGAGACCUUCGGGUCUAGUGGCGCACGGGUGCGUCACGCGUGGGAACCUGCCCUUAGGUUCGGAAUAACUCCCCGACAGGGGUGCUAAUACCGGAUAAUGUCUUCGGACCAAAGAUUUAUCGCCUUUGGAUGGGCCCGCGUUGGAUUAGCUAGUUGGUAGGGUAAAAGCCUACCAAGGCGACGCUCCAUAGCUGGUCUGAGAGGAUGAUCAGCCACACUGGGACUGAGACACGGCCCAGACUCCUACGGGAGGCAGCAGUGGGGAAUAUUGGACAAUGGGCGAAAGCCUGAUCCAGCAAUGCCGCGUGAGUGAUGAAGGCCUUAGGGUUGUAAAGCUCUUUUACCCGGGAUGAUAAUGACAGUACCGGGAGAAUAAGCUCCGGCUAACUCCGUG